rnacentral:rRNA from 1 species
UCCCUACGGGGUGCACCAGGCGCGCAAACUUUACAAUGCGAGCAAUCGUGAUAAGGAAACCCUGAGUGCCUGUCGAUGCAGGCUGUUCAUAUAUCUAAAUCAUAUGUGAAGAAAGGGCAGGGCAAGACCGGUGCCAGCCGCCGCGGUAAUACA